AACGAACGCUGGCGGCAGGCCUAACACAUGCAAGUCGAAGGAGAAGCCGGGCUUCGGCCCGGUGGAAACUGGCGCACGGGUGAGUAACGCGUGGGUAUCUACCUCGGGGUGGGGAAUAACCGCUGGAAACGGCGGCUAAUACCGCAUACGCCUUCAGAGGGAAAGCUCCGGCGCCCUGAGAGGAGCCCGCGUUGGAUUAGCUUGUUGGUGGGGUAAUUGCCUACCAAGGCUACGAUCUAUAGCUGGUCUGAGAGGAUGAUCAGCCACACUGGGACUGAGACACGGCCCAGACUCCUACGGGAGGCAGCAGUGGGGAAUAUUGGACAAUGGGCGCAAGCCUGAUCCAGCCAUGCCGCGUGAGUGAAGAAGGCCUUAGGGUUGUAAAGCUCUUUCACCUGCGAAGAUGAUGACGGUAGCAGGAGAAGAAGCCCCGGCUAACUCCGUG
rnacentral:rRNA from 1 species